GUGAAAAUGAGAGCACUGUUUUGUAAUUCUUAAAUUUUUGUUUAUUAUUGAUUCUCGGUCCUAGAGUCACAUUCAGAUGAUAAGGAGUGAGUUCUACCGUCUUCAAAAAUUUGUUGUGUGAAGUACAACAGCCGUGAAUCAUAACCUGAUCCGCAGCAGGAAUUCCUACGCGACACAAUAUAGUACCAAGGAGAUAAUAAUAAUUGCUCCAACCAGGAUAAUAAACGUCUGUAGAGAAAUCGGAUGACAGAUUUUCUAUAUUUUCUGUAGAGGAAUAUAUGUAUGAUAUGAUGAAUAUUUAAAUAAACGAUUUUUUUCAUU